rfam:Hebeloma cylindrosporum h7 unplaced genomic scaffold scaffold_1, whole genome shotgun sequence.
UGCCCCAUGGCUGAGUUGGUUACAGCGUCCGACUGUUACAUCUCAGUGAUUACGUAAUCGGAAGGUCGUGAGUUCGAGCCUCACUGGGGCAG